GUCGACAAAGAGACAGUGGCUCGUUCGUUCAAAACUAAAUGAUUAUGAAAAAGUUGAAUUUGUUUCUGCCGAUAAAACUUUUGUGUUCAAUAAUAUCGCGUUGAAUGGACCAAUUAGAAAUUUGUUCAAAGAAGAUAUAGAAACAUACAUUGAGAAGAUGGAUUUUAAAAACAACACUGAAAAUAGUCGCAUUGCUAUCAAUGAGUUUAUUGAAAAUACCACCAAAAACGAAAUUAAAAAUAUGCUAAAGCCAGGAACAAUUAAUAAAUUAACUGGCAUGGUUCUGGUGAAUGCUUCCUACUUCAAGGGUGGUUGGAUAAAUCCAUUCUGCCUGCACAACACUCAAAGAGAACGAUUUCAUGGAUAUAACGAUAGUUGGGUUGAAAUGAUGCACAAACGCCAGUGCUGAGUCGAUUGAACGUUGAGUCGAUUUUCGCGUGAAUAAUUUGAUAAGACAGCAGAGAAAUUAUUAUAUAAUGAUUGGAAAGAGAUUGAUGUUAAACUCCCGAAAAUGUCAUUCGAACAAAAUUUGGAUAUGAAAAAGGUAUAGACGAAUAUUAAACUGACUCAUAUGAAGCGCACACAUUCAAUUAUUUGUGUUUAUAUCUUGGAUCAUGAAAAAAAUGGGUGCCAAACAUUUAUUUUGCGACGAAUCACCGGAUAUUUCCGAUUUCGCGACAACUCCUUUGGAAGUCGAUGGGAUAUUUCACAGUGCCAAAAUUGAAGUUGAUGAGAAAGGAACAAAGGCGGCAGCAAGUACUGUACAAUUACUUUUCCACUACUCCACAAAGCCUAUUCAUUUUUUUCUUUUGUGACUAAAGUGAACCUCGAGCGUAUUAAACUGUUUUAAUUUUAAUCCGAACAAUUUUGUAUGUCCAUUCAUCACUCUUUUCUGUAUCUAAUUCAAACUUCCAUGGAGUAUUUUUUUAAAUAUAGAAAAACAAAAAUA